rnacentral:rRNA from 1 species
GCGAGCGUUAAUCGGAAUUACUGGGCGUAAAGCGCAUGCAGGUGGUUUGUUUAAGUCAGAUGUGAAAGACCCGGGGCGUCAACCUCGGAAUAGCAUUUGAAACUAGGCAGACUAGAGUACUGUAGAGGGGGGUAGGAAUUUCAGGUGUAGCGGUGAAAUGCGUAGAGAUCUGAAGGAAUACCGGUGGCGAAGGCGGCCCCCUCGGACAGAUACUGACACUCAGAUGCGAAAGCGUGGGGAGCAAACAGGAUUAGAUACCCUGGUAG